UACGGGGGGGGCAAGCGUUGUUCGGAAUUACUGGGCGUAAAGGGCUCGUAGGCGGCCAACUAAGUCAGACGUGAAAUCCCUCGGCUUAACCGGGGAACUGCGUCUGAUACUGGAUGGCUUGAGUUUGGGAGAGGGAUGCGGAAUUCCAGGUGUAGCGGUGAAAUGCGUAGAUAUCGUAAGGAAGACCAGUGGCGAAGGCGGGUCUCUGGACAGUUCCUGACGCUGAGGCACGAAGGUCAGGGGAGCAAACGGG
rnacentral:rRNA from 1 species